rnacentral:lncRNA from 1 species
ACACAGUAACCUUCAUAUACACAGUCACUACUCAGUCAUAUCUCGUAACUGAGUUUAAUAAUUAGGGUUUCACAGCACGGUAAUAUGUUAUGACCUAAUUGACUGUCAUUGCUCAAUAUUAUCUGUCCGCACAUACACAGUACAUAAUUAUUGUACUGUAAAAUCAUUAUAACAAUAAUAUAAUAUUAUUAUUCUCAUCUCUUGAUCACAAUCCCAAUUCAGGGUUUAGAUCUCAUAUCUGACUUCUCUUUCUUACACAACAUCAAUAAUCAAGUUAAAA